rnacentral:rRNA from 1 species
CCGACGGUGAGAGGUGAAAGCUGGGGGAGCAAACCGGAUUAGAUACCCGGGUAGUCCCAGCUGUAAACGAUGCGCGUUAGGUGUAUCAGUGACCACGAGUCACUGAGGUGCCGAAGAGAAAUCGUGAAACGUGCCGCCUGGGAAGUACGGUCGCAAGGCUGAAACUUAAAGGAAUUGGCGGGGGAGCACCACAACAGGUGGAGCCUGCGGUUUAAUCGGACUCAACGCCGGAAAUCUCACCAGAUAAGACAGCUGAAUGAUAGUCGGGCUGAAGACUCUACUUGACUAGCUGAGAGGAGGUGCAUGGCCGUCGUCAGUUCGUACUGUGAAGCAUCCUGUUAAGUCAGGCAACGAGCGAGACCCACGCCAACAGUUGCU